rfam:Neurospora tetrasperma FGSC 2509 unplaced genomic scaffold NETTE2scaffold_7, whole genome shotgun sequence.
ACAUACGACCAUACCCACUGGAAAACUCGGGAUCCCGUCCGCUCUCCCAUAGAUAAGCCAGUGAGGGGCAGCUUAUGUAUGGG